rnacentral:lncRNA from 1 species
AUGCGGACGCCCGCCGCGAUGCCGGAAAGCGCAAGGCCCGGGGCCAGUAUCCUCCCGAAGAUCAGAAUCAGAAUCAGAACCAGAACCCAGCCCGCCUCGCCGCAGGCUUUCGUGGCCCGGGCUGCUGAGGCUGGGACGCGCCUCGGCGCACACACGGGCGCUGGGCGUGUGACGGAGCCGGCGACGGCGGCGGGAGCUCCACCGCAGUUUCGUCAGCGGCAAAGACAGGAGCAACCCUGCCCUCUCCCGCUGAUCAUCUGGACCCCAUCGGAUAACACAUAUGAGAGCACCCAGUGCUUAACCAGGAGAUACAGCCUAAAUGGAAAACACGAGAAUCAACGCUGCCCCUCUGUCUCUAACUCUCUGGAUGUCUCUAUCACUCAACAGACACCUUUAAGAAAACUGUUAUCUACAGGUAUGAGUCACAGAUCAUAA